UACGUAGGGUGCGAGCGUUAAUCGGAAUUACUGGGCGUAAAGUGUGCGCAGGCGGCCGAGCAAGUCGAGUGUGAAAGCCCCGAGCUUAACUUGGGAAUUGCGCUCGAAACUACUUGGCUGGAGUGUGGCAGAGGAAGGUGGAAUUCCAGGUGUAGCGGUGAAAUGCGUAGAGAUCUGGAAGAACACCCGUGGCGAAGGCGGCUCUCUGGGACGGUACUGACGCUGAGACGCGAAAGCGUGGGGAGCGAACAGG
rnacentral:rRNA from 1 species